AGGAGAUUAGGUAAAUGGUAGACCGGGAGCCUUCAAAGUUUUUAGUGUUGGUUCAAUCCCAACAUCUCCUG
rnacentral:tRNA from 1 species